CUUGCUUCAAUUGCUUUGAUCUUCGACUUGCGAGUCAGAGGAUCAAUAGAGGCACUACCCUGAUCAAUUGC